CAGUAGGUUUGGCAUAUCCAUAGCAUUGGAGAAAGGCCUUAAUUAUACUACCACUGCUCAUUAAAGAGAUAAGAUCUUAGAAAAGACAAGCUAUGUUCUGCCUUCAGAAAAAUAUGUAAAGCCAUCUGGCUCUAUGUAUUACACUAGUUGUCAAUAGCCUGAGGCUAUAUGAAAUGCCCAGCAUUUUCAUCUUCCAGGCUCUGGGGGUGGAAGAGGAGUGAGAUGUCCAAGUGAGCACUCUGCGACUAGCAGCAUGGUGAUGAAGGGGAUGAUGGUGAUGUAUUGGAGCAUUCCUGUUUCCACAGAGCCCCAGAGACAGAUACUGCACAUGGACUAGAUGAGAUGCCAAAGCAUAAUAAAAAAGCCAAAGAAAGAAACAGCGCUGGAGUUUAUCACAGAAAUGCCUCCUGUUGGAUCAUUUCUUGAACUCUGACAGCCAGCCUUGGAAGCAGGAAGCAUGCUCAUUUUCCUCACCCUGCCGGAGCUUCAGAAAGAACUCAGCUCAAAAUAGACGCUAUUGAAGCAGGAGACACAUGAGGAGGUCCUGCAUGUCCCACUUGUGGGUAGCCCCGGUUUGCUCGCCUGCCUCUAGAUGCUCUGGGACGGAAAUGUCAACACUGUGCCCCACCCCAUCACUGCGCUAUGGUUCCCAGGUUCUCAGGAUGCCUCAUCCACCCUGCCCAACAACUCUCAAGCACCCAGCUAAGGAGGUAACGGUGAUCAGAAGCUGCAAACACUAGAAGGCUGAAGACAGAAAGGCAAACCAGGCUUUGUGCUCAUUUCAUGGAACAACCACACCAACCCCCCGCUCCCACCCGUGAUUUCCAUCCCCAGAGCCUCUCCUACUGACAAGAGAAGCAGCACAGGGAGCCCUUUCUUACAGAGAUCCAAGAGCUGUAAGCUCUGUGAAGGUGAGGCUGGAGAGCCUUGCCAUUCCUCAUGAGGUACCCGGGGGGACAGAGGCCAUAGCAACAGCAGCAGCAGUAAUAAUGAUGACAACCUGUGUUCUCAGAAGUCUUGCUGCACAGGUCAGGCAUAUUUUGUACAGCACCUGGCACCACACACUGUUGAGUGAUAGCUAAAUUUCUGCAAGGUUAGGGAGAACAGAAAGGCCACAAUCAUGAUAAACAUGAUUUCCUGGGUGUCUCCUCUGUGUAAGGCUGGGAUAAACACUUGCAUACAUUUGCUUAUUUAAGCCUCACAUGGCCCUUUAAGGUACUAUUACCAAUGGGGAACGUGUUUAUAGAAGGGCAGCCUGAGGCUCAGACUACUGAAGUGAAGGGACAAGCCUGAGGUCAGGUGGAGCCUUCAUGUUUGAACAACAAGAGGAGUCCAUACCCAAUUUAUAUGGCUCCAACACCCCUGAGCCUUCCACUGCUUUCCCAAACCUGACUGAGACCAACCUUCCCCAGACAUGUUGGUAUCCUCAGGCAGAUGCUAUCAUCCAUUUGGAAUGGCCAAGAGCCUUGAGCACCAUGCCGAUGGGGAAACACCUGUCUUCAGAAUUCCCCACCAGCUGUCUUGGCCAGUGAGCAACCAGGAUCCUGGAGCUAGGUAAGGCACUAAAAUGGGGAGUUAAGAGGAGACAAAGCUUAGCCAGGGAAUUGUAUCAGCAACCUCAGGGCUUCCCAAGAGCAAACUCUUUAUGCUAAAAGUCUCAUACUAGAGUCUUUAUACUAAAAUUCUUCCUUUCAAAGCAACAAACCAAGAAGGGAUGUCCAUGCACCAUCCCCCUUUGCUGGAGCAGCAUGUUUAUAGGUAGCUAACAGGAUGGAGAGGUGCCUUAGCAUACAGAUUUCAUUUGCGCCCAGUGGAGGGGAGUCUGCAGUGCAGGUUGACUCAGAAGGGGUUUCAGCUGCUCUGAGAAGCUCUGGUGCCCUCCAAGCCCCCGCAUAUUCAGCCCUCAUCCUGCCCAUCCAUCCUCAUGGCCCCUGCUCCUCACAUAAUCAGAUUCUAACGUAGCCAUUCAGCUUCACUGAUCUAUUAAAUCCAGAAACACAGUCUUUUUAUUAUUACCAUUUUAAAGUAACAUUUAUUUCAGAAUCUCUUGGCCAGUCUCAUCUGUUUUAUUAUCUUUUAAUUAACAUGUUAUCAUUACAAAUGUAAUACAUGUACAUCGCACAAAAUUGGAAAAUAAAAAAUGUGUAAAGAACAUAAAAUUGCUCAAAUCUAAUCAUCCUGAUGUAAACACCAUUAACAUAUGAUAUACAUUUUUUCUUCUUUCCAUCUUUUCUCUAUGUCUCUGAUUAUUUUUAAUUAAAAAAAUGAAUCAUGCUAUAUAUAGCUUAUAUCCUGGUGUUUUCACUUAAUACAUUAUGAGCAUUUUCUCAUGUCAUUUAAUGACAGGAUUCUUCAAAAACAUGAUUUCUAAUGACCACAGAGUAUUCAUCAUAUGGAUGGGCCAUGAUUUAGUUAACUAUUACCAUAUUGUUGGACAUUUCAGCUGUUUCCAAUUUUUUCUAUUAAAAUAAUGCUACAACAAAUAUCUGCACAGGUAUAUAAGUCUAUAUGUGAAUCUCUGAUUCUUCUUCAGGAUAAAUUUAGAGAAGAUGAAUGGACUGGUCCAUAAGUAUAAAUAUUUUUCAGGCUCUUGAUAUAAGCAUUUCAGAAAGUUUGUUCAAAGUACCCACCCAUCCCCUGAAUAUCAAAGUGCCCACUUCACUCUGUCCUCAGUAUCACUGGAUCUUCUAAUUCUUCAAGUACUUUUCCUCUGGAAAUAUGAAAAAUGAUAUAUUGUUUUAUUGUGCAUUUUUUGACUGUCAGUGAAGUCUGGCAUUUUUCCAUAUGCUUCUUGGCCUUCUCCGUUCUUCUUUUAUGGUUUGGUUAUUUAUGUCCUUUGCCCUUUUUUCUAUCAUGCUUUUAUAUUUUUCUUAUUGAACUAUACAAGAUCUUAUAUAAACAUGAAAGAUAAUGUAAAUAUUCCUUUAUAUUGUCUUCUGGCUUUAAGGUGGUAAUUUUGACAUUUAUUCCUUAAUUCACCUGGAAUGUAUUUUAAUAUAUGGUAUAUGACAGCAGUUCUCACACUUUAAUGAGAACUAGAUUCUCUACUCUGUACUCUGGGGUGGAGCUUGGGAACCUAAAUUUUAAUAAGUGCUCCCAGGAAUUCUGAUGCCUGUAAACACCUUUGAAAAACACCGAUAUAGUGAAAGAACCUAAUUUUUUUUUUUAGUAGUGGAUGAAUUGCCUUAGUAUAUUUAUCAAAUAACCCUUCCUUACCAAUUGCUGUAAAAUGCUGAAUAAUAAACUACAUUCCUAUAUCCCACUUGAGUCUGUUCUUAAGCUUUAUUCUAUUCCAUUGAUUUGUCUUUCAAUUUUUGUGCCAGAACUAUUAUUUUAUUAUUAUUAAGGCCUUGGAAUACACAUAUCUGGACAUAGAAAUACUCCUACAACUCUUAUUUUUCAAAAUUUUCUUGACCAUUCUUACCAAUUUGUUAAUUACUAGAUAACCUUUGUAACAUUUCUCCCAAAAAUCCUUUUAGAAUUUUGUUUGAUAUUCCCAUAAACUGAAAACAUAAUUUAGAAAAAUUAGUAUCAAAAUGACAGCUACUAUCUACUGAGCCAUUUCCAUGUAGCAGGUACUGCUCUAGGCCCUUCACACAUAUUAACUCAC
rnacentral:lncRNA from 10 species